AGCAGCAUGGCGCAGCUGGAAGCGCGCGGGGCCCAUAUCACGCCACCCCGAGGUCACUUGAUCGAAACAAGUUGCUGCUA